AACAAAUGAAAGGGUUAAACCUGUAGGAUACAUCUGAGCAGUAAUUCGCCUGUCAUAACAAUAUAUGUGCCUGAUUCACAUGGACUGUUUUGGGAUAGACUCCUUACACCAAUAGAAUUCUACUACCUGUUCUUGCACAUUUAAUUUGGAGUUAGACAGUCAUUAACACAUUAAUUACUAUUCUGUUUGUUUACUAUAGCUCCCUCACUCUUCCCCUAUGUUAUCCUUUUCUGUACAUCCCCAAUAACUCCAAAUGUCACAUUCAUUGUAUCUGUGUCUAUUACAUAUUUCUUCCUCUUCCUGUACCAUUUCCUCC